GGGGUUGUGGCUCAGUGGUAGAGCACUAGCCUAGCAUGUGCAAGGCCCUGGGUUCGAUUCUCAGCACCA
rnacentral:tRNA from 1 species